rnacentral:lncRNA from 1 species
AGAAACUCACAGCCGUAUAUGUCCUACAGAACUCCAUUACAUCUGAAUAGUGAAAUAUCUCUCUAACUUUCGCAGAUUUUUAUAACUUAUAGUCAAACACAAUACAUCAGGUUUUUAUGCAUUUUUUUCCUUCCAAAAUCUCGAUUAUAUAUAUGUUCUAUGCAAUCUUCUUCUCAACACAACCACUGCUACACUAAACCUUUACAUAAAACUCAGGUAUACAUAUUUGAAUUGCAUAUGUUGUUUUCUAAAUAUUUUAUGACAUUCCUCUUCACAAAAAUGGAUUCCUGUCUGAAUAUAAACUAUACUUCUCUCUUCGUGUAUAAACUUUCAUUGUUGUUUCAUAGUUUGUAAUUUUAAUAUGAUAAUAUUUAUGGUUUCUUUUUCAAUGCCAUGCUGGAAAAUGAAUAAAAAAUACAAGCUCAUCCCAAAUAUCUUUCCAGGGCAAAGUGAAUGGACUACCAAAGUUAUUGUAGCCGAAAAAAGUGCACCAAAAACAGCUCAGAAUGGUUCCUCGAAAUACCUCAAAAUGACAUUAAUCGACACAGUGGUACGUUCUUCACGCCAAAACUUUCAAAGUAUGCUGAACUUUAGAAAAAUAUAACUAUAUUUCUUACUAUAUCUCUUAUUUAAUAUAAAGCAGAUAAACAAAAAAUAGACUGAAAACCCUAAUCUAUUUUCCAUUUGCAACUCAGGUUGCAUAUUUUUUAACUCAAAUAAGCCUGCAUACUUAAACCACAUAAAAUUUAACUUCUUUUUUAACAUAUGCAAGUGAUUUACAAAUUAUAAUUUCUCAACUACACAUGUAUUACAUCUAAAAUAUUGUUAUUCUAUUUUCUAUUUAAAAAGGGACACAGUGCAAGCUACAAUCUUUGAUCCCAAAUAAUAGCUUUGGAAGAUCGACUCAUCCUAUCCAAGACUUACAUAAUAUCCAAUGCAACAGUGAAAUAUACACCACCACAAUUUAGAAACUCCAUUGGUGAAUUUCAGUGGACCAUUUCUGGAACAACCAGAAUACAAGAAAUUAAAGAGGACCUGAGAAGAAGAGGGGAAGAGGAAAAGAUAGAAAUUAGGGAGACAAAUCAAUUUAUUUCAUAAUCAAAGGUUGUCCUGAUUACAUGGCAUGACCCCCUUUAUAUAGGGUUUCAAAUGAUCUUAUUCUAAGUAAGAAAAUAUUAGAAAAGCUACUAAAUCAAAUCAUAUUAAUGUUUCCUAAAAUACGAUUUGAAAUUGGAAACUAAAUAAAUAAUAUUCCUUCUAAUAUUUCAUCAUUUGUCCCCAGGUGAGAGAUUUCGACUCCAGCGAGAUAGACUAGUACUUCAUACUCCAAGAAGGUCGAUCUUUUGUCUUCACCAAAUGCUCGUACUGGACCUUGGACAAUAGCAAUUUGUUGAACCCAUACUAGGGCUGGGCAACUUUUCCGAACCGAAUCGAACCCGACAGUUCUUGUUAAAUUAAAUACCCGAACGGGUAUCUGAAUUGAGAACUGACGGGUACGGUUCGAUUUUCGAUUCUAGACUAAGAAUCGAAGAACCGAAUCUUUCUAUUUUUUUUUUAUAUUGAGUAAAUCAACUUAUUUUAAUUUUUUCUAAACAAAUUAACGAUUUCUAAAUCCAAAUUUUUGGCCCAAUAAUUUGUUUAAUUUCUAAUUUUUUAAUUUUUGGCCCAAUUACCCAUUUUAUUGUUUCAUUUCUUAGCCAAACAAGGUCAAAUCCACUGUAUAACCCUAAACACCUACGCUAAAGUGCAUAAUGUUGUCUCGACUCUCGCACUCACUCUCACAAGCUCGCUAAUAUUCCAAAACCUAUACAAUCAUCGACCGACACUGUGACCUUUGAUUGAAGCUGUGACCUCCGCCGACCGAAACUUUGAUCGUAGCGAUCAUUUGAACAAGGUAGUUUACUAGUCUCUCACAUUUCAAAACCAUUG